rnacentral:tRNA from 1 species
UGCCCGGUCGUCUAACGGUAGGACAGGCGGCUCUGAACCGUCUAAUCCAGGUUCGAAUCCUGGCUGGGCAA